CCAGUCGUGUCAACAGGCCGAUAGCGGAUAACUGGAGGAGUGUGGAUAAAAAAAAUCGGGCGACUUGAAUUUCGCUUUGAUGUUAGAUUAGAGCGAAGUGGGGAGUUACAAAGCGACUAUUUCGCUCAAGUCGCUCCCUAGCUCAAGCCCUGCUUCUGAAAUUGUAUUUUAUGGCAGAAGAGAUGCACUUGUAUUCAUUUCUUUAUGUAUGUAUUAUGCCUCUCUAGAGGCCAUAAUUUUCAAUGGAUCUUCAUGAAAAUUGGUCAAAAUGGUCACCUUGAUAAUAUCUAGGCCAAGAUCGAAACUGGGUCACGUGCUGUCAAAAACUAGGUCAGUAGGUCUAAAAAUAGAAAAACCUUGUGACCUCUCUAGAGGCCAUAUAUUUCACAAAAUCUUCAUGAAAAUUGGUCAGAAUGUUCACCUUGAUUAUAUCUAGGUCAAGUUCGAAACUGGGUCAUGUGCCGUCAAAAACUAGGUCAGGAGGUCUAAAAAUAGAAAAACCUUGUGACCUCUCUAGAGGCCAUAUAUUACACAAGAUCUUCAUGAAAAUUGGUCAGAAUGUUCACCUUGAUGAUAUCUAGGUCAGGUUCGAAAUUGGGUCACUAGCGGUCAAAAACUAGGUCAGUAGGUCUAAAAAUAGAAAAACCUUGUGACCUUUCUAGAGGCCAUAUAUUUCACAAGAUCUUCAUGAAAAUUGGUCAGAAGUUCACCUUGAUGAUAUCUAGGUCAAGUUCGAAACUGGGUCACGUGCCAUCAAAAACUAGGUCAGUAGGUCAAAUAAUAGAAAAACCUUGUGUCUUCUCUAAAGGCCAUAUUUUUCAUGGGAUCUGUAUGAAAGUUGGUCUGAAUGUUCAUCUUGAUGAUAUCUAGGUCAAGAUCGAAACUGGGUCACGUGCGGUCAAAAACUAGGUCAGUAGAUCUAAAAAUAGAAAAACCUUGUGACCUCUCUAGAGGCCAUAUAUUUCAUGAAAUCUUCAUGAAAAUUGGUCAGAAUGUUCAUCUUGAUGAUAUCUAAGUCAAGUUCGAAAGUGGGUCACGUGCCCUCAAAAACUAGGUCAGUGGGUCAAAUAAUAGAAAAACUUUGUGACCUCUCUAGAGGCCAUAUUUUCCAUGGGAUCUGUAUGAAAAUUGGUCUGAAUGUUCAUCUUGAUGAUACCUAGGUCAAGUUUGAAAGUGGGUCACGUGCCUUCAAAAACUAGGUCAGUAGGUCAAAUAAUAGAAAAACCUUGUGACCUCUCUAAAGGCCAUAUUUUUCAAUGGAUCUUCAUGAAAGUUGGUCUGAAUGUUCAUCUUGGUGAUAUCUAGGUCAAGUUCGAAACAGGGUCAUGUGCGGUCAAAAACUAGGUCAGUAGGUCUAAAAAUAGAAAAACCUUGUGACCUCUCUAGUGGCCAUACUUGUGAAUGGAUCUCCAUAAAAAUUGGUCAGAAUGUUCAUCUUGAUGAUAUCUAGGUCAAGUUCGAAAGUGGGUCACGUGCCAUUAAAAAGUAGGUCAGUAGGUCAAAUAGUGAAAAAACGUUGUGACCUCUCUAGAGGCCAUAUUUUUCAUGGGAUCUGUAUGAAAGUUGGUCUGAAUGUUUAUCUUGAUGAUAUCUAGGUCAAGUUUGAAACUGGGUCAACUGCGAUCAAAAACUAGGUCAGUAGGUCUUGAAAUAGAAAAACCUUGUGACCUCUCUAGAGGCCAUACCCUUGAAUGGAUCUUCAUGAAAAUUGGUCAAAUUGUUCACCUUGAUGAUAUCUAGGUCAAGUUUGAAACUGGGUCACUUGCCUUAAAAAACUAGGUCAAUAGGUCAAAUAAUAGAAAAACCUUGUGACCUCUCUAGGAUCUUCAUGAAAAUUGGUCAGAAUUUUUAUCUUGAUAAUAUCUUGGUCAAGUUCAAAACUGGGUCACAUGAGCUCAAAAACUAGGUCACUAUGUCAAAUAAUAGAAAAAACGACGUCAUACUCAAAACUGGAUCAUGUGGAAAGAGGUGAGCGAUUCAGGACCAUCAUGGUCCUCUUGUUUUGUUGUUUUUUAGCUUUAUAAUUUCAUAUUGAGGAUUAACCUUGACAUAAUUCAUUAAGUUGAGUGAGUUAUUUGAGUGCUUCAGAAUCUGUUGUUACAUACCAACAUACUCAGAAUAAUAGAUGUCCCUUUACCUUCUGAUUGUCUAACUGAAAACAAAAUUCAUCAGUAUGUGUUUGAAACUUGACUAUCACCAUUUGCACUGCUUAAUAUUCUUGUUUUCAUUGAAUUAUGGCUUUGAGACUUUGUACAUAGUUACAUGUAUGUUAAGACCGGCUUUAGGAGAAAGUACCAUAAAUAAUCUUUUAUUUGGAUUAUGGUCCUUUUCUGCACUCUGCUUUCUUUAGUACCUAACAUUGUUGAGUAAGACCACAUAUCUAGAAUACUAAUUGAGUAAUAUCCUGUAAUUUGAAGCACUUCUACAUUAAGAUAAACAAGAACUGUAAAAGUACAUUAUACCAUAUUUUUGUUAUGUUUUAUAAGGACUGUUAUUGAGAUUCAAACAUGUAUCAAUAAAUUGAGUUUGGUCAUUAGUUGAAACAAAUAUCCUCAGUGUAAGUCAUCCCCCAAAAGGUAUUUUUAGCUCACCUGUCACAAAGUGACAAGGUGAGCUUUUGUGAUCGCGCGGUGUCCGUCGUCCGUCCGUGUGUCUGUGCGUGCGUGCGUCCGUGCGUCCGUCCGUAAACUUUUGCUUGUGACCACUCUAGAGGUCACAUUUUUCAUGGGAUCUUUACGAAAGUUAGUCAGAAUGUUCAUCUUGAUGAUAUCUAGGUCAAGUUCGAAACUGGGUCAAGUGCCUUCAAAAACUAGGUCAGUAGGUCUAAAAAUAGAAAAACCUUGUGACCUCUCUAGAGGCCAUAUAUUUCACAAGAUCUUCAUGAAAAUUUGUCAGAAUGUUCACCUUGAUGAUAUCUAGGUCAAGUUCGAAACUGGGUCACAUGCAGUCAAAAACUAGGUCAGUAGGUCUAAAAAUAGAAAAACCUUGUGACCUCGCUAGAGGCCAUAUAUUUCACAAGAUCUUCAUGAAAAUUGGUCAGAACGUUCAUCUUGAUGAUAUCUAGGUCAAGUUCUAAACUGGGUCAGGUGCCGUCAAAAACUAGGUCAGUAGGUCAAAUAAUAGAAAAACCUUGUGACCUCUCUAAAGGCCAUAUUUUUCAUGGGAUCUGUAUGAAAGUUGGUCUGAAUGUUCAUCUUGAUGAUAUCUAGGUCUAGUUCAAAACUGGGUCACGUGCCUUCAAAAACUAGGUCAGUAGGUCUAAAAAUAGAAAAACCUUGGGACCUCUCUAGAGGCCAUAUAUUUCAUGAGAUCUUCAUGAAAAUUGGUCAGAAUGUUCACCUUGAUGAUAUCUAGGUCAAGUUCGAAAGUGGGUCAAGUGCCCUCAAAAACUAGGUCAGUAGGUCAAAUGAUAGAAAAACCUUGUGACCUCUCUAGAGGCCAUAUUUUUCAUGGGAUCUGUAUGAAGGUUGGUCUGAAUGUUCAUCUUGAUGAUAUCUAGGUCAGUUUCGAAAGUGGGUCACGUGCCGUCAAAAAUUAGGUCAGUAGGUCAAAUAAUAGAAAAACCUUGUGACCUCUCUAAAGGCCAUAUUUUUCAUGGGAUCUGUAUGAAAGUUGGUCUGAAUGUUCAUCUUGAUGAUAUCUAGGUCAGGUUCGAAACAAGGUCAUGUGCGGUCAAAAACUAGGUCAGUAGGUCUAAAAAUAGAAAAACCUUGUGACCUCUCUAGAGGCCAUACUUGUGAAUGGAUCUCCAUAAAAAUUGGUCAGAAUGUUCACCUUGAUGAUAUCUAGGUCAAAUUUGAAACUGGGUCACGUGCCUUAAAAAACUAGGUCAGUAGGUCAGAUAAUAAAAAAACCUUGUGACCUCUCUAGAGGCCAUACUUUUCAUGGGAUCUGUAUGAAAGUUGGUCUGAAUGUUCACCUUGAUGAUAACUAGGUCAACUUUGAAACUGGGUCAACUGCGGUCAAAAACUAGGUCAGUAGGUCUAAAAUUAGAAAAAUCUUUUGACCUCUGUAGAGGCCAUAUUUUUCAAUGGAUCUUCAUGAAAAUUGAUCUGAAUGUUCACCUUGAUGAUAUGUAGGUCAGUUUCGAAACUGGGUCACGUGCGGUCAAAAACUAGGCCAGUAGGUAUAAAAAUAGAAAAACCUUGUGACCUCUCUAGAGGCCAUAUUUUUCAUCAGAUCUUCAUGAAAAUUAGUGAGAAUGUUCACCUUGAUGAUAUCACGUAAAAUUCAAAACAGGGUCACGUACCUUCGAAAACUAGGUGAAUAGGUCAAAUAAUAGAAAAACCUUUUGACCUCUCUAGAAACCAUAUUUUUCAAUGGAUCUUCUUGAAAAUUGGUCAGAAUUUUUAUCUUGAUAAUAUCUAGGUCAAGUUCAAAACUGGGUCACAUGAGCUCAAAAACUAGGUCACUAUGUCAAAUAAUAGAAAAACCGACUUCAUACUCAAAACUGGGUCAUGUGGGAAGAGGUGAGCGAUUCAGGACCAUCAUAGUCCUCUUGUUUGAAGUUUAAUAUCAGAAGAAGUGACUGUAUGUAUUCUAAAAUGUAUGAUUAGCUUGACGAGCAUUUUAAAUUUCACAUAAUUGUAUGUGGUGUAAACAAAACUUCUUUAUCAAGUUCUUCCUAGAAUUUUCUAAUUAAUUUUGAUGCUUGGAAAAUAUAAAUGUUGUAUGAUUAUUAGAAUACACUUUGCUUUCAAAGCAUCUUGUCAUGGAUUUUUUUAUGAGUCUGUCCCAGUAAACAGAGCAACAGCCGAUUCAUUUAAUAUGUAAAUUUUGAUAUUGAUGAAUUUAUUUAUUAUGAUAUAAUCAUUUAAGCAAAUGCUACGAAAUUUCAUGCCCACAAAAUUAAUUGUUUUACAGUAUAAUGUAGGAUGGUAGUAAUUCUCACUCGCUGAAUGUACAUUUGCAUUGACUGAACGCUAUCAAAUCUAGGUUAAGACUUUAGUCAGUAUAUUAUACACUUGAUGUGUACAUACAUCCAAUAGGUGAGACUGUAGUGUUUGCAUAUAAUGUAUAAUUAUCAGUUCUAUCAGCGAUGGACCUUUAUUGUUAUUUUCACUUAUAUUCUUGUGCUAUCGUUACAGUAUUAUAAAUAUUAUAAUAUGGUUAAAAAUAUAUAGUCUAAGAGGUUAUUUUUAUGCAUGCAUAUAGUUAUACUGUUAUAUUAUUUGCAAGUGUUCUAUGAAAUAGAUGUUCUGUACCUUUAAGAAGGGUUAAGAAGCUUGCAUGCUUUGAUGUAUCAAAGGAGCACCUGUGUUAUACAUGUUUGUCCACAAACAGUUGAUUGUAAUACAGAGGUUAAGAUCUAGACUUGACACUUAGUCUAGACUGAUAAAAAAGAUAUAACUGAAAAAAUUUAUUUACCCCUCUUUAAGUUCAGUAAGUAUCUUACUACAUUAAAAUGUACAUGGUUUUUACUCCAAAAUAAGAUAACAUAAAAGUGUUUUGUGAAUGUAUAAAUCUAAAUUUUGUUAGCUUUUCCAUUUUCAGUUUUGGAAACUGAAACAUUUAUUAUGCCCCUAGACAAAAAGUGUAUGGUGGCUCAUAUUGGAGUCAUGCAUGUCCGUCUGUCUGUCUGCCGGUAAUUUGUGUCUGUUCCUUAUCUUCAUCUUCUAAACCUUUGGGAAGAUUUUCAUUAAACUAGCGUCAAUUCUUUACCUCAUCAAGAUGAUGUGCAAAGAGCACAACCCAGGUCUAUAGGUCUAAGUUUGGUGUCAAAUAGCUUAACUUCAUAUCCAUAUCCACUCUGUAUUGUCUAAACUGCUUGAUAUAUUUUCAUAAAACUAGCAUCAGUAGUCUGUCUCAUCAAAAUGACAUGCAGAGCACAUAACACAGGUCACUCAGUCCAGGUGUAAGAUAAUAUGUACGUUCGGUAUCUUCUUAACCGGGAUAAUGAUAAAACUAGGCAAAUAUUCAUUCAUUGAAUCUCAUCAUGGGGAUGUGCAUAGUGUACAACACUGGUCAAGAUAAAACAUGAAAGACAAAGUUUAGGAUCACAACAUUUUAUUUUUCCUGUAUCAGAGGGGUGUCUGAGGGUGUUAAUAGUACUUAGUGAUAAUGUAGUUCUUGUACAUCUUCUGGAUUUUGUGAACCCCUCUCAACCAGGCUGGUCCUUUAUUUAGGAAAAUUUCUAUUACGAUGGAUUUCUUUGUUUACGGGGUAUAUUUAGGUCAGCUGAUAAUAAAUGAAACAGUCUGGAACCAAAACAUUUACACAGAUCAGAGAAUUUCCAUAUUUUGAAGGUGUUUUGGAGUAUAUGCUUAAUCUUACUAUUGUUUGAAAUUUUGAAAAUAUUAAUUUCUUACGCUUGAUUGAUGCACAAGGAGACCUAUAAGGUCUGACCACUUGGUUUUGCUGUAUCUCUUUGAUUCCAGCAGGUAUAAAAGUUUUUAUUUCACUCCUCAUAUUUAUAUUUAGAUGUAAAUGAGGUUUGAAGCCAAAAUUUUUAGUCCUGUUUGGUGUUGUGUUACCAGUGCUGUGUGGAUGGGUCAUAAAGUGCAGAUCAAUUCAGAUCAUACCAUUUUUGUUGCAAACACUUCUCAAGUGCAUUUGAACUUGAAUUAUAAUAAUGUUAUACCUGACCCAGGUUUCAUUUAUAUUGUUUAAGAUAAUUUCAUAUCAUACAUCUCUGUAACAUUGUGGUUUUCCUCCACUUAAUGUUGUAACUUGGAUAUUAAUGUAUGAUUUGCAGGAGAUCUGGAGUGGUUUCAAGUGUUUGGAGGAUAAACUUAACUGUAAAUUUGACAUGUAGAUAUUGUACAGUUAAAAUGAUUUACAAUUCUCUCAAGGUUCACUUGAUUUCCUGCAUCUAGUGUUAGUUUGGAACACGCUGAUUUGCACCAAAGAAUCAAGCGGCCGAUACCUAACAACUUGAUAAAACACUGAUUUUUUCAUAUUUUACAGACUGCAUGACAUAAAUACACACUGUUUAGAACUUGCUGAAUGGCAAUGUUUUCUACAACAAUUUAUCAAUGUAAACAAAACAAAGUCAGGAUGCGUGCUCCUUUCUUUAAUUGAUUUAUUAGCUCACCUGUCACAUACUGACAGGGUGAGCUUUUGUGAUCACCCUUCGUCCGUCUUCCGUCCGUCCACAAUUUCCUUGUGAACACGAUAGAGACCACAUUUUGUAUUUGAUUUUAAUCAAACUUGCACUCAGCUUGUACGGGCAUAAUAUCUCGGUUCCUUUCGAAAACUGGCCAGAUCCCAUCAUAGGUUCCAGAGUUAUGGCCCCUUAAAGGGCCAAAAUUUGCUAUAUUUGGCUUGUGAACACGAUAGAGACAACAUUUUGCAAUCAACUUUAAUCACACUUGCACAAAACUUGUAUUGGCAUAAUAUCUCGGUUCCUUUUGAAAACUGGCCAGAUCCUAUCAUGGGUUCCAGAGUUAUGGCCCCUUAAAGGGCCAGCCCCAUGUGGUUCUGGGACGAUCUGUGUAUGAAAAGAAUUGGAACCACUGCCUUACCCUUGCAUGAUCGUAAGAGGCGACUAAUAAUGUCUUAACACUUGGUUUUGCUGUAACUCUGUGAUUCCAGCAGGUAUGCAAAUUUUGAUUCCAUACCUCAUGUUUUUAUUUCGAUUUAAAUGAGAUGUGAAACCAAAAUUUGUAGUCCUGUUUGGCGCCAUAUAACCUAUACUGUGUUGGUGGGCUGUAAAACCCAGAUAAAAUAAAACUUAAAGAGCCGAAAUUUGCUAUUUUUGGCUUGUGCAGUCAUAUAGAGACUUCAUUUAUGGUUUGAUAUGAUACAAACUUGCAAAAUAUCUUCAACAACAAUAAAUUUUGGAUUCCAUGAUGAAUCUGUCAGAUCCAGUCAAAGGUUCUGAAGUUAUUUUAUAUCUGAUUACCUCCCCUGAUUUCAAUCAAAAUGAGUUUGUAUCAGUAAGUACUUAUAGGACUCAUUUGAAAUUUCAUUAUAUCAUUAAUUGGACUCAGACAAUCGGGGUAGAUAACUAUGGACUGAUUUUAUGUUAAAUUACCUCCAUUUAUUUCAAAUUAAAAUGGAUAUAUCUCCGUAACUAAUGAAGAUACUGAUCUGAAAUUUCAUUUAUGCCAUCAGAUGGACUUUAACAAUCAGUGAAGAUACAUAUUGACUGAAUUUAUGACAAAUUACCUCCCUUUAUCUUUUAUGUAAAUGAAUAUACCUACCAGCUUCUAAUGAGAUUUGUUUGAAACAUUAUUUAUGUCUUCCAUGGUAAGAAAUUUCUACUUUUACUUACAUUUCUAAUAUAUUGUUGUAAAGGCUUGUACUCUGUAUCUUCUACAUGCAUAUACCAAUGCAUGAUUACCUCCCCUGAUUUUAAUAAAAAUGGAUUUAUCACAGUAAGUAUUUAUACGACUUAUUUGAAAUUUCAUUAUUGUCAUUAGUUGGACUGAGACAAUCAGGGUAGAUAACUAUGGACUGAUUUAUGUCAAAUUACCUCCCUUUGUUUCAAAUUAAAAUGGGUGUAUCUCAGUAACCAAUGAAGAUACGGAUUUGAAAUGUCAUUUAUGCCAUCAAAUGGACUCAGACAAUCAGUAUUGAUAACUUUUGACUGAAUUUAUGACAAAUUACCUCCCUUUAUUUUAUGGAAAUUAAUAUACCUCAGCAGCAUCUAAUGAGAUUGGUUUUAAAUGUUAUUUAAGUCUUUCAGGGUAAGGAAUAGUCAUGCUAGUACAAAAAUGCAGCAUUUGAGCCAAGAAUCCUCAAUCUUGGUAUGGAGAUUGGCUAUGGCUAGUAUGUGACCUAUAGGUCAAAAGGGACUGUUGCAAGAAAAUAUUUAUCCUGAUUAUAUUUAAAGUGUAUGCCUAUGUGAUCUAUGUCAAAACUUGAUCUUAUUAUUAAGAGCAAUGGUACUCAGGUGAGCGAUAUAGGGCCAUCAUGGCCCUCUUGUUGAUUUAUUGAUCAUUUUCAUUGUUAUUGUUUUUUUUGUUUUUUUCAUUACAUUAUAUAUUGCUAACAGAAUUGUAAGCUUUUAAAACAAUGUGAUUUUUGCAUAUGUUUCUUUACCUUCAGUUAAUACACAGAAUUAUGGUUGUCUUCAUUAAAGAGAAUUCCGAUAUUUUUUUUCCUUUCAUAGAAUUUUUUUUAAUUCAUAUAUAUGAUAGGAAAAUGUGUGCUGAAAACAAUGAACAAAUAAAAAUAAUAUGUCACCAGGCUUGUUUUUGUGAAAAAUUGCUUUGAACACACCCACUGUUGCUGAAACUGCCAGCGAUUUUUGAACAUUUUCAUAAUUUUCUGCUUUUUUAUAAAUACCAACCAAAAUAUACAUCCAGGCAGCACAAUACGGUUUUUUUCUUAUUACAGAUUUUAUCAUAUAUUUACUUGAUAUCAUAGUCAUAUCUGUAAUACUCUAUCCUUACAAAGAUGGGUACAAAUGAAAAAAAAUGUUGUUUCAUAUUCACUUUUGUGAACUUUUUUCAAUGAAAAAUACCCAUAGUGAAGAAUAUUUUUUUAAAUUUUGAAAAAACUCUUUCAUAGAAUUUUUUCCUUUUUUUCUUGUGUAUAGAUAAUUGUAUUGUGAGCAUAAAAAGGGCUAAAAAUGUAUGGGUCACCAGGCUAUUUUUAGCUCAUCUGAUUUUUUGAAAAAAAAUGAUGAGUUAUUGUCAUCACUUGAGCGGUUGUCGGCGUCGGCGUCGGCGUCUGCGUCGGCGUUGCCUGGUUAAGUUUUAUGUUUAGGUCAGCUUUUCUCCUAAACUAUCAAAGCUAUUGCUUUGAAACUUGGAAUACUUGUUCACCAUUAUAAGCUGACCCUGUAUAGCAAGAAACAUAACUCCAUCUUGCUUUUUGCAAGAUUUAUGGCCCCUUUUGGACUUAGAAAAUAUCAGAUUUCUUGGUUAAGUUUUAUGUUUAGGUCAACUUUUUCUCUUAAACUAUCAAAGAUAUUGCUUUGAAACUUGCAACACUUGUUCACCAUCAUAAGCUGACCCUGUACAGCAAGCAACAUAACUCCAUCCUGCUUUUUGCAAUAAUUAUUGCCCCUUUGGACUUAGAAAAUCAUUUUCUUGGUUGAGUAUUAUGUUUAAGUCAACUUUUCUCAUAAACUAUCAAAGCUAUUGCUUUAAAACUUGCAACAGUUUUUCACCAUCAUAAGUGGACACUGUACAUCAAGAAACAUAACUCUAUCCUGCUUUUUGCAAGAAUGAUGGCCCUUUUUAGACUUAGAAAAUCAUGGGUAGGACAAUAUUUCUAUUACACUAAAAAAAAUCAGAUGAGCGUCAGCACCCGCAAGGCGGUGCUCUUGUUUAUGUUAAGACCGCUAGAAUACAAACACUUGUUCGGACGGAAAUGGCGCGAACCUGCCCAAAUUGAUUACAUGUGUCUGCUAAAAGUUUUAAAAAAGUUUUAAAAAUUCUUAAUUCUUUCUAUAAUUGCAUACUAAAUAAUCUGAAAGGUGAUAUUGUCUUAUCAGUACUAAGUCAAUUAUCUUACAUUAUAUGAAAAACACUGUCUUUAUACUAAAAUGCGAUGUGAAAACACAACCACAAAAAUAGCAAGAUACCUGUCAGGCAUGAUACUUGUCAAUACAACAUAAACCAGUAUCAACAUUUGAUUACUGAUAUAACUUAUCAAAAAUGUUAUUUCAUUCAAGAUUCCUCAUAUUUAAGAUUGUCUGUAACAUGUUUCAACAAAUGUUGACUUUAGUUCAGUUUUCCAUAGAAAGUGUCGGCUGCGCAGAAAGAUGCGCAUUAAAAACUAUAGGAAUUCCCUUUAACAUGUUAAGAUUUUGUAAAGAAUAUUUGACAGUGUCAAAAUUGUUAUGCCUCAAGUUGUGGAAUUACUGUUAAAUCCACCUUUUCUGAAGAGAGAGUUUUCCAGUGUUGUAUUGUACUGUUUGUAUUGUAUCAUUGUACAGCACUCCAAAGGUGAUAAUAGGAACUUUUUAAAUUUUCAAAAUAUUUCAAUUAGUUUUGAAUAUAUUAGCAGAAAACAAUUUUGAUAUGUAUUUCUGUCAUUUUGGACCCAAAAAACAUUAUCUUUUAGUAAUCACUCCUUUUAAACAAGUAAUGGUACUGUCAAAAUUGAAAGAUGGACAAGUUCAUUAUAGAAAUUUGGCAGGGUAAGGGUUAAGGUUAUAUAUAACUCAUGUCUGAUUCUUGCAAAAUAAAGCCACAAUUCUUGAGAAAUGCUUCUACAGAUUAGGUGUCACUGGAUGAAACAGUAAAUAUGCUGUUGACACUUAUGCUGAAUUUAUUUGCAUUGAUUUUAUUUUGCAUUUGCAUUUUAAUUCUUGAUAUUGAUAGUAUCUCAAGGAGUUUUGUACUGUACAAUGAAUUUGAUUUGAUAAGGUUCAAAUUUAUUUAAAUAUUCAGUAAGUCUGAAUGGUUUCUAACUCUUUGUAUUUUGUAAAAGUUAUCAUGUAAAUUGUGAUAAUAUCUCUUCAAAAAAUAAAAUAUCUCUUACAA